GCGGGUAUGGCGAAAUGGUAGACGCAAAGCGCUUAGGACGCUUCGGGAGCAAUCUCGUGUCAGUUCGAGUCUGACUACCCGCACCA
rnacentral:tRNA from 1 species